UUUGGGUAUAAGUUAUUCUUGAAAUGACAGAAUACAGUUUACAACUUGUAUCUUGUAUACCUAAUGAGACAAUUAUUCCAGGAGUGUCUGAGCUAUUCAGCAAAAUUGACACAGAGCAAACAGAAAGACUGUGCUGGAAAUGAAGACCCAAGUUUGUUUAACCCAAAGGGCUCCUGGUUAGGCUGUCAUUUGCUUGCUUGUAACUUCCAUUGGUAAAAUACGAGCUCUUGCAAGUCUCCCCUGAAAGAUGAUUCAAGCCAGGUUUCCGAAGGCUGUCUGCAAAAUAUUUGGACUUUCAGAAGAUGUUGCUCUUCUCUGAAUAUUAACUAGGACGGUAAGGACCACAGGAAAACAGAGGAUUUAAAAAUCAAGACUUAGAAGCAGAAGACAAAGAAGACAACAGAAGGCUCAGAUUUUCAUCAUACAAGACAAUAUUGAUGCUUCAUGGAUACUGAGCAGGAGCAUCAUCUCAUAGCAGCAGUUUGCCAGCUCUCGCCGUCCUCUCUAUAAUACCAUUGAUGGAAGUCUGGAAAAAUUUGAGCAUGGGCAAAGGAAAGAAGAACAAAAGGAAGAGGAUUUGAUCAAAAUGUACAGUAAUAUAAUGCAAGCAAUAAUUCUUCAAGGAUAUUGAUCCACUUCAAGAAACAUUUACAGAACAAGAGUUGGAACUCACUAGCUGACUGCACUUAUGUUUUGGGGUGUGGUUUAACCUCUCAUGGACUGUAAUCUUUUAAGAAGGGUGAAGGAGUUUUCUGCAGUGAUGUGACCUGGCUUAUCUGCCCAGAUGCUGUUGAGAGUGAACGUGCCUCAUUUUAAAGGUAGGGCUUAAGUGGUCAUGGAUUUAAAAACCUCACAGCUUUGAUGAAGCUUGCUGCAUAGAAAUACCUACAACACAUGUAAGUAUUUCAGGCCUUCAUAUUUUUUAACUUACUUUUCUUCAAAUACAAUAGCACAAGCAAUUCCCAUGUUCCCAAACUUAUUUUAACAUCGAUACAAUUUUUUAACCAGAUAAAAGUGAAGGCUCCUUUUGAUCACUAAGAAUAAUAAAAAAUAUUGGCACAUGUUUAAAAUCCCAGGAGCUUUCAAGUACCAUUAAAUCAUACCUUUAAUAAACUUGUGAUUUCUCCCAGCUGACUUCAUUAUCUGAGGACUGCCUUACCUGAGUGACUAAGUAGAAACAUGAACGAAAUCAGAGGUUUUGCACGUCUGACACACCUACUUCUGAAAUUCUUGGGACUUGCCACAAAUGUGAACAUCCAUGAUGUUAUCACAUCAUCACCGAGGCAUUUCACUGCAUCCGUUUCACAAAAGGGCACUGACACAGAGAAAGUUGAAGUGACUUGUCUGGUAAAAGGGACAUUUUUGUGGAGGAGGUGGAAGAAGUACUGUUAAUUCCACUGUCAGUAAAGCAGUUAAUCAAAUUGUUUAUCUUAAAGCUAUUGCUAACUUCAAAGAGACUACUUUUAUCCUUGCAAGUUAGUAAAACUUGCAAGACAGCAGGAUCAAAAAUCCACAGUAUAAAUCCCUUAGGAGAGCUUCCUAUAGCAUUGUUGCCUUGCACUUUCUUGGUCUCUCAGAAACAGUAGCUGAGCCCUGGCCAAAGACUCCUGACUUCGGCUGUAUGUGAGACCUCACCCUCUCCACAGAGAUCAGGAACUCUAUGGAAGUGAGCAGCCAGGGAUCUAUCAGGAAUGCUGUGUGUCAUAAACACGGCCAGCACUCCCAUCAGGGCUCAUAGCCCUCAUUCUAGGUACUGAAACAAAAUAUUUCUUCAUCAUUUCUGAAUUUUAGAGCAAACACAGAACAAGCGCAUGGUCUCUCCAAACCUCAGACAAUUUACUUUGGCUACCAAUACACCCACAGAAAGAGUUUUGCCAUUUAUAUAUUUAUCCUUUCCUUACUUAGUAUUGAUUCUAAAUAAAGAAGAAACCAUGCUUGACGGGAAACCUAUGAGUAAGGAUAUAUGAAUUAAAGAGUUUGUUUUAUCUACCCACUUUCCUUUUACUGCAGCCAAAGAAAAAGUUUUCUUCUUUGUAGUAAAAGUAAUGGUACUCUGCAUAUAAUCGCUGUGACACAGAUAAAGUAGAAGCCUCUUUUUCAUAUAUCGAGUACUGAAAAACUAUUAACUUAUUAUUCCUAUUCCAUUAUUCAUAUUUCAUUAAUCUUAUCAAAUCUUCCCAACAAGGAGCAUGUACUGA